rnacentral:rRNA from 1 species
AGUGAACGCUGGCGGUAGGCCUAACACAUGCAAGUCGAACGGCAGCACAGUAAGAGCUUGCUCUUACGGGUGGCGAGUGGCGGACGGGUGAGGAAUACAUCGGAAUCUACUUUUUCGUGGGGGAUAACGUAGGGAAACUUACGCUAAUACCGCAUACGACCUACGGGUGAAAGCAGGGGAUCUUCGGACCUUGCGCGAUUGAAUGAGCCGAUGUCGGAUUAGCUAGUUGGCGGGGUAAAGGCCCACCAAGGCGACGAUCCGUAGCUGGUCUGAGAGGAUGAUCAGCCACACUGGAACUGAGACACGGUCCAGGCUCCUACGGGAGGCAGCAGUGGGGAAUAUUGGACAAUGGGCGCAAGCCUGAUCCAGCCAUACCGCGUGGGUGAAGAAGGCCUUCGGGUUGUAAAGCCCUUUUGUUGGGAAAGAAAAGCAGCAGGUUAAUACCCCGCUGUUCUGACGGUACCCAAAGAAUAAGCACCGGCUAGCUUCGUG